GCACAGCAGACUUCUUAGCUCCUGAUGUCCAGGAAGCAGAGCAGGACAGCCGGCUCAGACAGGACGAAGCGAUGGACCAGACACAGUUCCCCAGCUCCCCGUCCCACCCAGACAUACCCAGAAGUCUGGUUCACUAAUCUUCUGGGCAGCUUCCAAGCCAGUUGGGUUAACACAGUCAAACUUCACCAUUACAGAAUGCUCAGCUGCUUGGAUUUGAAAACGAGCGCUUGUGAAAGAAGUAUGAGGAAAUACACGUAGCUUGUCUAUCACGACGGUUUCCAGAGCCUCUGACAACAUUCUGGGCUAUUUCUCAUCCAAGAGAGGCAGUUAGCUGGAAAUCUUUGGACAGACAGCAUCAGGAAUGAGACAUGAGCAAGUGAAACGUU